rnacentral:rRNA from 1 species
AUUGAACGCUGGCGGCAUGCCUUACACAUGCAAGUCGAACGGUAACGGGUCCUUCGGGAUGCCGACGAGUGGCGAACGGGUGAGUAAUAUAUCGGAACGUGCCCAGUAGUGGGGGAUAACUGCUCGAAAGAGCAGCCAAUACCGCAUACGACCUGAGGGUGAAAGGGGGGGAUCGCAAGACCUCUCGCUAUUGGAGCGGCCGAUAUCAGAUUAGCCAGUUGGUGGGGUAAAGGCCUACCAAGGCAACGAUCUGUAGUUGGUCUGAGAGGACGACCAGCCACACUGGGACUGAGACACGGACCAGACUCCUACGGGAGGCAGCAGUGGGGAAUUUUGGACAAUGGGCGCAAGCCUGAUCCAGCAAUGCCGCGUGCAGGAAGAAGGCCUUCGGGUUGUAAACUGCUUUUGUCAGGGAAGAAAUCUUCUGGGCUAAUACCUCGGGAGGAUGACGGUACCUGAAGGAUAAGCACCGGCUAACUACGUGCCAGCAGCCGCGGUAA